GACGAACGCUGGCGGCGUGCUUAACACAUGCAAGUCGAACGGAAAGGCCCUGCUUUUGUGGGAUGCUCGAGUGGCGAACGGGUGAGUAACACGUGAGUAACCUGCCCUUGAGUUUGGGAUAACGUCAGGAAACUGGGGCUAAUACAGGAUAGGAGCUCCUGAUGCAUGGGGGGGGAGGGAAAGUUCCGGCGGUUGGGGAUGGACUCGCGGCUUAUCAGCGUGUUGGCGGGGUAGUGGCUUACAAAGGCCUCGACGGGUAGCCGGCCUGAGAGGGUGACCGGGCCCAAUGGGCCUGCGGUACGGCCCAGACGGCUACGUGGGGCAGCAGUGGGAAAUCUUGCACAAUGGGCCGAAGCCUGGUGCAGCGACGCCGGGUGCGGGAUGACGGCUUUCGGGUUGUAAACCGCUUUCGCCUGUGACGCAGCGUGAGUGACGGUACUGUGUGAAGAAGCACCGGCUAACUACGUG
rnacentral:rRNA from 1 species